rnacentral:rRNA from 1 species
AAUUCCAUCUNAAGCUNAAUAUUGGCGAGAGACCGAUAGCGAACAAGUACAGUGAUGGAAAGAUGAAAAGAACUCCGAAAGGAGNGUGAAAAAGGACGUGAAAUUGUUGAAAGNGAAGUGCUUGAGAUCAGUCUUAAGGUUUAGUGAUCAGUCUUCCNNUUGGUUGGUGCNCUNACUNUUUCUUAGGCCAACAUCAGUUUUGGCGGCAGGAUAAUGACAUUGGAAUGUGGCUCUUUCGGGAGUGUUAUAGCCUUUGUUGAUACUGCNNGCUUAGACUGAGGACUGCGCNNUUGCUAGGAUGUUGGCAUAAUGA